rfam:Ophiocordyceps sinensis CO18 unplaced genomic scaffold OCS_Scf_1945, whole genome shotgun sequence.
GUCUUCACAAUGAUGAAAUAUCCCGGAUGUAAAAUUGUCAUGUCGGAAAGCGCAAAAAACAAUGUCGAUACUUCCGUUGCCUUCCUUCUGAUGCCGAAGA